UGAGGGGAAUUGCAAACACAGAAAGGGCAAGAGGACAUCCCAUGAACAAAGACAUGGAGAUGUCAACAAGCCUGGCAUGUGAAGAUAAUUUCGGAUCUGGCAAAGCAGGUGGAACAUGGAAAGUGCAUUCUCUGAUGAACCAGGGCAGUGUUCAAGGAGAUGGGGGCCUGUGGUGGUGAUUUGGUCACAAAGGUGGGGAUCCUGUGGUUGGCAUUACAGGAAGACAAAAAGG